rnacentral:rRNA from 1 species
AUGCAAGUCGAGCGCGAACCCCGCAAGGGGGGAGAGCGGCAAACGGGGUAGUAACGGGUAGGUGACGUACCCUCGGGUCGGGGAUAGCCACGGGAAACUGUGGGUAAUACCCGAUAAUCUCUCGAAGCGUGAUGGUUUCGGGAGCAAAGGUGUGAUUCCACCGGAGGAGCGGCCUGCUUCGUAUUAGCUGGUUGGCGAGGUAACGGCUCACCAAGGCGACGAUGCGUAGGGGGUGUGAGAGCAUGACCCCCACCACUGGGACUGAGAUACUGCCCAGACACCUACGGGUGGCUGCAGUCGAGAAUCUUCGGCAAUGGGCGCAAGCCUGACCGAGCGACGCCGCGUGUGGGAUGAAGGCCCUUGGGUUGUAAACCACUGUCAGAGGGGAUGAAGUGCAUGAGGGCAAUCUCUCAUGCUUGACAUAGCCUCAGAGGAAGCACGGGCUAAGUUCGUGCCAGCAGCCGCGGUAUACGAACUGUGCGAACGUUAUUCGGAAUCACUGGGCUUACAGGGUGCGUAGGCGGCUUGUUAAGUAGGGUGUGAAAGCCCCCGGCUCAACCGGGGAAUUGCGCCCUAAACUGGCGAGCUGGAGUGAGAUAGGGGUGUGUGGAACUUCCGGUGGAGCGGUGAAUGUGUUGAUAUCGGA